CAGAGAGGAUGACAGAGAGCAGUACACUAACAGUUUGACAGUAUGGACUUCAGGGCAGGACUGCUGCUUUUAACGCUGUUUGUGGCAGGUGUUGAUAGUCAGACUAUAAUACAGUCUGAACCGGUGGCUAAAAGACCUGGAGAAUCCCACAGACUGACCUGUACAGGCUCCAACAUUGAAUUCAGCAGCUACUGGAUGGCCUGCAUCAGACAGGCUCCUGGAAAAGGACUGGAGUGGGUUGCCGUUAUCAGAUAUGACAGUGCUUACAUCUAUUAUUCUCAGUCAGUUCAGGGCAGGUUCACCAUCUCCAGAGACAACAGCAAAGAGCAGCUGUAUCUGCAGAUGAACAGUCUGAAGACUGAAGACACUGCUGUUUAUUAUUGUGUUCGACACGCACAGUGAGUGGAGCCGAUUGACCAGCUGUACAAAAUCCAGCAUAACAUAAGUUUGUUAAAAAUAUGACUAAAGUUAUUCUCACAUAUAAUGGCAGACAUUGUUUGUACAACAGUUUUGUUGUCAUAAUCACUAACAGAAAUAACCACAGG